GAGGUUAAUGCUAUUACCAAGCCAUGACCCAUCAAUUUGGGGAAACCAAUGUUCCCCAUAUCAAAUUCCACAAUAAUUCACCCAUUCAGUCCCAAAAAUCAUCAAUUUGAUUAUACACAAGACAUUUAAAGUAUGGGAAAUAUUAUUCAAGUGAUAAUCAUCAAAAGCCCUCAACCCAAUUUCAAACCCAAUAAUUAAGCACAUAAAUAAUAAUUAAAA
rnacentral:lncRNA from 1 species